rnacentral:rRNA from 1 species
UACAGAGGUCUCAAGCGUUGUUCGGAUUCAUUGGGCGUAAAGGGUGCGUAGGUGGCGCACUAAGUCAGGUGUGAAAUUUCGGAGCUUAACUCCGAAACUGCAUUUGAUACUGGCGUGCUUGAGGACUGGAGAGGAGACUGGAAUUCACGGUGUAGCAGUGAAAUGCGUAGAUAUCGUGAGGAAGACCAGUGGCGAAGGCGGGUCUCUGGACAGUUCCUGACGCUGAGGAGCGAAAGCGUGGGGAGCGAACAGG